AACGAACGCUGGCGGCGCGCCUAAUACAUGCAAGUCGAGCGAGAAGACGUAGCAAUACGUUUGUAAAGCGGCGAACGGGUGAGGAAUACAUGGGUAACCUACCCUCGAGUGGGGAAUAACUAGCCGAAAGGUUAGCUAAUACCGCGUACGCUCCUUGGACUUCGGUUCAGGGAGGAAAGCGAUACCGUGGGUAUCGCGCUCUUGGAUGGGCUCAUGUCCUAUCAGCUUGUUGGUGAGGAACGGCUCACCAAGGCUUCGACGGGUAGCUGGUCUGAGAGGACGAUUAGCCACACUGGCACUGCGACACGGGCCAGACUCCUACGGGAGGCAGCAGUAAGGAAUAUUGCGCAAUGGGCGAAAGCCUGACGCAGCGACGCCGCGGUGGGGGAUGAAGGUCUUCGGAUUGUAAACCCCUUUCGGGAGGGAAGAUGGAACGAGCAAUCGUUCGGACGGUACCUCCAGAGCAGCCACGGCUAACUUCGUGCCAGCAG
rnacentral:rRNA from 1 species